rnacentral:rRNA from 1 species
AUACGUAGGGUGCGAGCGUUGUCCGGAAUUACUGGGCGUAAAGAGCUCGUAGGUGGUUUGUCGCGUCGUCUGUGAAAUUCCGGGGCUUAACUCCGGGCGUGCAGGCGAUACGGGCAUAACUUGAGUACUGUAGGGGAGACUGGAAUUCCUGGUGUAGCGGUGAAAUGCGCAGAUAUCAGGAGGAACACCGGUGGCGAAGGCGGUUCUCUGGGCAGUAACUGACGCUGAGUAGCGAAAGCAUGGGUAGCGAACAGGAUUAGAUCCCCUGUUAGUCCAUGCCGUAAACGGUGGGCGCUAGGUGUAGGGGUCUUCCACGACUUCUGUGCCGUAGCUAACGCAUUAAGCGCCCCGCCUGGGGAGUACGGCCGCAAGGCUAAAACUCAAAUGAAUUGACGGGG